GACAGAACAAGCCCAACAACCAGACUACAGACGCUGAAGGUCAGCAGCUGGAUUUUCAUCUUCAGAUUUAAAGGAGUAAAAACACAUUUUUUAUUCAUUCUAUUCAUUAAUAGAAACAAUCUAAAUAUUUUAUGGUUUCUCCUUUCAUCGUCUCUAAUAGUUCUGACCACCCACCUACCAACAUUAAAGUUCACCCACAACGACCUUUAUGAGUCACACUUAACAUUUUAUAGUUAUUUUAGUCUAGGUCUACUCUAGAACUUUCUCCAGUUGUCGGUAGGUCUGCUCUAGAACUUUCUCCAGUUGUCGGUAGGUCUACUCUAGAACUUUCUCCAGUUGUCGGUAGGUCUGCUCUAGAACUUUCUCCAGUUGUCGGUAGGUCUACUCUAGAACUUUCUCCAGUUGUCGGUAGGUCUACUCUAGAACUUUCUCCAGUUGUCGGUAGGUCUGCUCUAGAACUUUCUCCAGUUGUCGGUAGGUCUACUCUAGAACUUUCUCCAGUUGUCGGUAGGUCUGCUCUAGAACUUUCUCCAGUUGUCGGUAGGUCUACUCUAGAACUUUCUCCAGUUGUCAGUAGGUCUACUCUAGAACUUUCUCCAGUUGUCAGUAGGUCUGCUCUAGAACUUUCUU